GUUUUCUCUCUGGGGUUACAAGUCUUAUUUUAGUUAUUUAGUUAAAUAAUACCCUAAAAAAUAUAAUACAAUACAAUAUAAUAUAACAUAAUAUGUUUAUAGUUUGUUUACUUAUUCUACAUCCCCAAACCACCUCUCCCUCCUUUUUUAUUUAUUAUUAUUAUUAUUAUUAUUAUUAUUAUUAUUAUUAUUAUUAUUAUUAUUAUUAUUAAGUACUUUAAAGUUUUUCAUAAUUCCCAAUAACCUACUUUUUACAUUUACUUUCAAUAAGGUCCGAUUUUUUUUUUUCUUCUUCUUCUUCUUAUUUAUCUUUAGAAUGUUAUUUCUAAAGACAGGGUUCCUGCGUUGUGAUUGUCGUGCAGUUGUAGUGUUCCUUCUUUGUCCACACACGCAGCUGCUCAAAGGCUUUAACACGAUGUCCGAGUGGAUAAAACACGAAUAUGGUGAAUAAAAUACACGUUGUAUCAAGACUGAAGAUGUCUGAUGCGAGCGCAGCGUGAUGAUGGUGGUCACGUGACGCGCCUCUGCUGAAGGUGCGGGGUAAAGGUGGCACACAGAAAGGCACAGCGAAGAGCGCGACACUACACACUCUCCAACCGACUUCAACACGACAACACAAACAUAAUGUCUAUUAGCCGGAAAAACUGGUCUGCUUUGUCAACGCUGGCUCGACAGUGGACUGUGGAGGAUGAGGAAGAGGUGGAGAGAGAGAAGAGGAGGAAGACAAGGGAGUCUACAGCAGACUCGGAUGAAAGUCCCACUGAAGAGACCAAACCACAAACCAGUAGCGGGCCUGAUGAUUCUGAAGACUCCGGUGGCGGUCUGGCCCAGCUGCAGCUGGACUUUGUGGAGAUGCUGCGAGUCCGUGACGAACGGCGGAGGAUGAGGCACGUUGAAACCCUGAGGAAGAAUAAGGGGGAAGAUGAUGGUGGCAGAGAGGGCAGCCCGGAUAAGGAGCCCCAUGUGGAGCUGCUGGGGGAACAGCAGGACGAGGAACUCUUCAAGAGCGUGCAGCACUGCGUGGAGACCUUCAUGUCACCAGAACCUCCCACCAACUCCACAGACUCGGAGACACAGGAGAAGCAAAAAAAUGAAGACACGAACCAAGAUUCAGCAAACUCCCCAACUCCCCCAAAAGCAUCCCGAAAGUUUGUGAGCUCUCUCUCCAUCUCCUUUGAUAAGAGUCCCACAUCACCCCCAGCAACAAGCAGACUGGUUUCUCCUCUGAGCUCCAAGUCUCCGCCCCCUCAGUCUCCGAGGGCGGAGUCACCACACAGCUCCACCCACUCCGGCUCUAUGAGCCCCACACCGAAUGGAGACGCAGCGAGACAUGAAAAUGGGUCACCGAGCAAUUUCGAACCAGCUGCGAAACCUGCGUUCACACGGCAGAGCUCCAGAACGGUGUCCUUCAGGAUGAUGAAGAAGAAGGAGGAAGAAGACAUGCCGUUACAGAGAAGCGCAAGUGUGCGGAUUGCAGCGAAGACCUUUGAAUCCAAUAAGAGCUCCAACCAAGAGGAGGAGCAGCAGACCCCGUUCCAGAGAAACUCCCGGCAGAGGCUGUCAUCUCGCGCCAUUCAGGAGAAAAUGGAACGACUGACUCAAGCCUCACAGAAAUGGGAAAUAUCCAAGUCCCCAGUGGUGCACAAGACUGUGUGUUUAGCGGAUGAGGUGUCAAGGAAGAGGGAGCUGUUUGAGAAAGAACAGGAGGGAUCCGACAGAAGCCAUGUGUUCUCCAAACAGGAUUUUCGCAGCUUUUCUUCAGGAAUCUCUGAUCGAAUUAAUCGCUGGGUUCAGAAGAAAACAUUUACUGUGUCAUCAUCAGCAUCUUCAUCAUCAUCAUCUCAUAGUCCUUUGGUAAGGGCUGCUUUAUGUAGGCAUGAGCUUACAUUUAUCUUUUUCUUUGUUUGCAUUUUUUCAUAGGGAAAACAUGAGAAGGUACACAAUAAAAAAAAAUGGUGUGAACCUCA
ensembl:lncRNA